CCUACGGGAGGCAGCAGUAGGGAAUAUUGCUCAAUGGGGGAAACCCUGAAGCAGCAACGCCGCGUGGAGGAUGAAGGUUUUCGGAUUGUAAACUCCUUUUGUUAGAGAAGAUAAUGACGGUAUCUAACGAAUAAGCACCGGCUAACUCCGUGCCAGCGGCCGCGGUAAUACGGAGGGUGCAAGCGUUACUCGGAAUCACUGGGCGUAAGGAGCGCGUAGGCGGGAUAGCAAGUCAGAUGUGAAAUCCUAUGGCUUAACCAUAGAACUGCAUUUGAAACUGUUAUUCUAGAGUAUGGGAGAGGUAGGUGGAAUUCUUGGUGGAGGGGUAAAAUCCGUAGAGAUCAAGAGGAAUACUCAUUGCGAAGGCGACCUGCUAGAACAUAACUGACGCUGAUGCGCGAAAGCGUGGGGAGCAAACAGGAUUAGAUACCCGGGUAGUC
rnacentral:rRNA from 1 species